GACGAACGCUGGCGGCGUGCCUAAUGCAUGCAAGUUGAGCGAUGAAGAUUGGUGCUCGCACCAAUUUGAAGAGCAGCGAACGGGUGAGUAACGCGUGGGGAAUCUGCCUUUGAGCGGGGGACAACAUUUGGAAACGAAUGCUAAUACCGCAUAACAACUUUAAACAUAAGUUUUAAGUUUGAAAGAUGCAAUUGCAUCACUCAAAGAUGAUCCCGCGUUGUAUUAGCUAGUUGGUGAGGUAAAGGCUCACCAAGGCGAUGAUACAUAGCCGACCUGAGAGGGUGAUCGGCCACAUUGGGACUGAGACACGGCCCAAACUCCUACGGGAGGCAGCAGUAGGGAAUCUUCGGCAAUGGACGAAAGUCUGACCGAGCAACGCCGCGUGAGUGAAGAAGGUUUUCGGAUCGUAAAACUCUGUUGGUAGAGAAGAACGUUGGUGAGAGUGGAAAGCUCAUCAAGUGACGGUAACUACCCAGAAAGGGACGGCUAACUACGUG
rnacentral:rRNA from 1 species